AUUGAACGCUGGCGGCGGGCCUAACACAUGCAAGUCGAACGGUAGCACAGAGAGCUUGCUCUCGGGUGACGAGUGGCGGACGGGUGAGUAACGUCUGGGAAACUGCCCGAUGGAGGGGGAUAACUACUGGAAACGGUAGCUAAUACCGCAUAACGUCGCAAGACCAAAGUGGGGGACCUUCGGGCCUCACACCAUCGGAUGUGCCCAGAUGGGAUUAGCUAGUAGGUGGGGUAAUGGCUCACCUAGGCGACGAUCCCUAGCUGGUCUGAGAGGAUGACCAGCCACACUGGAACUGAGACACGGCCCAGACUCCUACGGGAGGCAGCAGUGGGGAAUAUUGCACAAUGGGCGCAAGCCUGAUGCAGCCAUGCCGCGUGUAUGAAGAAGGCCUUCGGGUUGUAAAGUACUUUCAGCGGGGAGGAAGGCGGUGAAGUUAAUAACUUCACCGAUUGACGUUACCCGCAGAAGAAGCACCGGCUAACUCCGUGCCAGCAGCCGCAGUAA
rnacentral:rRNA from 1 species